rnacentral:rRNA from 1 species
UUUUUCUUUGGAGAAAAAUAAAUUUUCUCAAGCGGGGCGUUCGUCAUGAUAUGUGAGCAUGGAAUAAUCAUAUAUCCCUCGGCUCAGAUUUUGUUGGUUUCCAUUGCUGAGGUAAAGGGUGUAGGGCCAGAUGGGGGCACUCGCAUUUAACUGUCAGAGGUGAAAUUCUUGGAUUUGUUAAAGACGACCCAGUGCGAAAGCAUUUGCCAAGAAUGUUCUCGUUGAUCAAGAACGAAAGUUAGGGGAUCGAAAGAUGAUCAGAUACCAUCCUAGUCUUAACCAUAAACGAUGCCUACUAGAGAUCGGAGGUUGUUCAAUUUGCGACGCCUUCAGCAUCCUAUGAGAAAUCGAAGUCUUUGGGUUCUGGGGGGAGUAUGGUCGCAAGGCUGAAACUUAAAGGAAUUGACGGAAGGGCACCACCAGGAGUGGAGCCUGCGGCUUAAUUUGACUCAACGCGGGGAAACUUACUAGGUCCAGACACAGUAAGGAUUGACAGACUGAUAGAUCUUUCGUGAUCUUGUGGGUGGUGGUGCAUGGCCGUUCUUAGUUGGUGGAGUGAUUUGUCUGGUUAAUUCCGUUCACGAACGAGACCUCAACUCACUAAUUAGCCACGCCAAUCUUAGGAUAGGUGGGGUGCUUCUUAGAGGGACUUUGUGCUUCUAGUACAAGGAAGAUUGAGGCAAUAACAGGUCUGUGAUGCCCUUAGAUGUUCUGGGCUGCACGCGCGCGACACUGAUUCAUCCAUCGAGUUUUGCGCCUUGCCCUAUAUGGUCGGGCACUCUUCUGAAACUGCAUCGUGUUGGGGAUAGAUUAUUGCAAUUAUUAAUCUUGAACGAGGAAUUCCUAGUAGGCGCGAGUCAUCAACUCGUGCCGAUUAUGUCCCUGCCCUUUGUACACACCGCCCGUCGCUCCUACCGAUUGAGUGCUCCUGUGAACAAUUUGGAUUGCGGCAGUCUCCAGUAUUGGCACCUGCUGUAGGAAGAUUUGUGAAUGCAAC